CCUUACAGCCACACCACCCUGAACAUGCCCGAUCUCGGAAGCCAAGCUGAGUCGGGCCUGGUCAGUACUUGGAUGGGAGACCGCCUGGGAAUUUUCCAUCCAUCAAUU
rnacentral:rRNA from 1 species